CUAUAUAAUUAUAAAUUCGACGUUCCGCAGUAUUUAAAAACGGCGUGCAUCCGCAAUCCGAUUUCAAUAAGUGUGUAUGUGGAUAUAUAGACAGGUGGCUGCUUAUAUACAUCAGGGAUACGUGUCCAUGCGCGCAUAAUUUGCAGUUUAAUGAAAAGCGUGACAUUUUAUUGUAUUUAUUCAGCGAUUAUUUUAUAUGGGCGUUUAUAAGUAAUAAGCUGACAGCAGAAAACAUAGUCUACAUCAGAGUUGGACCCCGAUAUCAAACCCCAAUGGAGGAUUGACUUCAUCAUCAUCAUGGUUAAACGGCGUGCGGAUUUAUUAUUAUUAUUAAUAUCUAUACUUCACAUUUAUUGAUCAGGAGUAGAGAAUAAUACAGUUGUGAUAAAUAAAUGCGAUAACAUUGUGAAUUAUGUAUUACAUCAAUUUGUUUGGUAUUCAGUUAAAUCAAUUUUUCUCGGAUCUACAUUUAUAUAACGAUAAUAUUGAUUAUAAGGUGAGCUUCUUAAUUUAAUAUCUAUAAGUAUAAUCUAGCGGCGGAUUUACACAUUUGCGCUCUACGCCAGAUGCAAUUUACCGCCUAUUUCAAGCUUACCAAAUAGGACGAAAAUUUUUUUCGAUCGCUUCACUCGCAAUUAAUGACACUUAGGUAUGUAAAAUCUAUAAUGUAAGUAUAACCUAAGUAUUCUAAAUAAGUGGCACUUUUAAUUUUUAAUGAAUCAUUCAAUCAAAUCAAUACCGUACCCAUAAACUUAGGGUGAUUGUAAUAUGUAAUGCUGAAGCUGAAUAUAGACCUGCUGAAAAUUGUACCUAUGUCUAAUCACCCUGAAUUGUAAAUUAAAUCCCCAAUUAUAGCAUAA